AACUGUGCAAACUUCUUAUCAUCAGCCAGCACUUUGUGUUCUUUCAGGAUAUGAUAAGAGGUAGCAGCACAUUGAGAGAAACAUCUUCAAGGUGAUUCUGCCCAGCAACUUGUGACUGACUUUUGGGCAAACCCAAUGAAAUAUUAUCACGCCCUUUGUAAUACGAUCACGCCUAUGCUUUCAAUGAAACAGCUGAGCAACAGAGGAGACUUUGAAGAUGAUCGACCACGCUUUGUGGUGAACAUUGGAUCAGUCUUCCCUUUUGCAAAAGCGAGCUAAAAGCUGAAAAAGUUGUCCGUGUGUUCCUUGACUCUGCUGUGACGAUUCUGGAACCUGACAAUGUCAACCAACAGAAACAGACACUGAUCAGUUUCUGCAGUGCAACAAUUUGCCACUGGAGGACAGGAGAAGAAUUAGAAGUCCAGCAAUGCAGACUGACAGGAGCAGCAGUCCUACAAUGACUCCAGUGACCGGACCGGACAGCUGAAGAGAGACAGGAAAUGUGGGGAGUACAGAGUGGGG